rnacentral:rRNA from 1 species
CAACGCCGCGUGGAGGAUGAAGUCCCUUGGGAUGUAAACUCCUUUUCGACCGGGAAGAUACUGACGGUACCGGUGGAAGAAGCACCGGCCUAACUCUGUGC